rnacentral:rRNA from 1 species
UCGAGUGGCGGACGGGUGAGUAACGCGUGAGCAACCUGUCCCAGACAGGGGAAUAACACUUGGAAACAGGUGCUAAUACCGCAUAAGACCACGGGGUCGCAUGGCUCUGGGGUAAAAGGAGUAAAUCCGGUUUGGGGUGGGCUCGCGUCCGAUUAGAUAGUUGGUGAGGUAACGGCCCACCAAGUCGACGAUCGGUAGCCGACCUGAGAGGGUGAUCGGCCACAUUGGAACUGAGAGACGGUCCAAACUCCUACGGGAGGCAGCAGUGGGGAAUAUUGGGCAAUGGGCGAAAGCCUGAACCCCAGCAACGCCGCGUGAGUGAAGAAGGCUUUCGGGUUGUAAAGCUCUGUUAUGAGGGACGAAGGAAGUGACGGUACCUCAUAAGGAAGCCCCGGCUAACUACGUGCCAGCCGCUGC